UACGUAGGGUGCGAGCGUUGUCCGGAAUUAUUGGGCGUAAAGAGCGUGUAGGCGCCAGAUAAGUCCGCUGUGAAAUCUCGAGGCUCAACUUCGAGCUGUCGGUGGAAACUAUCUGGCUAGAGUCCGGAAGAGGAGAAUGGAAUUCCUGGUGUAGCGGUGAAAUGCGUAGAUAUCAGGAGGAACACCGGUGGCGAAAGCGCUUGUCUGGCCCAAUACUGACGCUGAGGCGCGAAAGCUAGGGGAGCAAACGGG
rnacentral:rRNA from 1 species